AAACUUUCAACAACGGAUCUCUUGGCUCUGGCAUCGAUGAAGAACGCAGCGAAAUGCGAUAAGUAAUGUGAAUUGCAGAAUUCAGUGAAUCAUCGAAUCUUUGAACGCACAUUUGCGCCCGCCAGCACUCUGGCGGGCAUGCCUGUCCGAGCGUCAUU
rnacentral:rRNA from 1 species